AGUGAACGCUGGCGGCGUGCUUAACACAUGCAAGUCGAACGAGAACGGAUUAUAGCUUGCUAUAGUUGUCAGCUAAGUGGCGCACGGGUGAGUAAUGUAUAGGUAAUAUGCCUCUUACUAAGGGAUAACAAAUGGAAACGUUUGCUAAUACCUUAUACUCCUUAUUAACAAAAGUUAAUAAGGGAAAGAUAUAUUGGUAAGAGAUUAGCCUGUAUUGUGUCAGUUAGUUGGUGGGGUAAUGGCUUACCAAGACUAUGACACAUAACUGGUUUGAGAGGAUGAUCAGUCACACUGGAACUGAGACACGGUCCAGACUCCUACGGGAGGCAGCAGUGGGGAAUAUUGCACAAUGGACGAAAGUCUGAUGCAGCAACGCCGCGUGGAGGAUGACACAUUUCGGUGCGUAAACUCCUUUUAUAUGAGAAGAUAAUGACGGUAUUAUAUGAAUAAGCACCGGCUAACUCCGUGCCAGCCGCCGCGGUAACAC
rnacentral:rRNA from 1 species